rnacentral:rRNA from 1 species
GUGAGGAAUAUUGGACAAUGGGCGCAAGCCUGAUCCAGCCAUGCCGCGUGCAGGAAGACGCAUCUAUGGUGUGUAAACUGCUUUUGUACGGGAAGAAACACUCCCUCGUGAGGGAGCUUGACGGUACCGUAAGAAUAAGGAUCGGCUAACUCCGUGCCAGCAGCCGCGGUAAUACGGAGGAUCCAAGCGUUAUCCGGAAUCAUUGGGUUUAAAGGGUCCGUAGGCGGUUUAAUAAGUCAGUGGUGAAAGCCUAUCGCUCAACGAUGGAACGGCCAUUGAUACUGUUAGACUUGAAGUACAAGGAAGUAACUAGAAUAUGUAGUGUAGCGGUGAAAUGCUUAGAUAUUACAUGGAAUACCAAUUGCGAAGGCAGGUUACUACUUGUGGAUUGACGCUGAUGGACGAAAGCGUGGGGAGCGAACAGGAUUAGAAACCCUUGUAGUCC